GCCCAACCACCACACUGUAAGAACCCAUACAGGAAUGUAGGUAGACAUUUCACAUGACAGCUUUGGUGGAGCUCCUAGUGAGCACUCAGAAACAAUGGGGACGAGAGCGAGAAUGAUUCAACGUGCUUCCAGCGGCAAAAGUCAAACUGGCUAUGAGAGAAAGCUCGAGAGAGAUUGCCCAGCUAAAUGAAGGCCGCACCAGAAUCUGAGGUGCUGAUGCAACAUGACCAGCUCCCCUCAGGUUUCUGCUGCUAUGGCUUCAGUGCUAUGAUGGACUGUAACCUGAAACUGUGAGUUAAUGAUGGGGUUUGAGGUGUGUGCCAUUACCAACAGCAGAAGCGUGUCUCUAAGUGUGAUCUGCCCCCAGCAUCUUGUGGAGGUUCUUGUUGAAAAUGGAUGGACUCCUAACAUGUGAAAACUCAGGACCUCUGGAAGAGCAGCCAGUGCUGUUAACCACCGAGCCAUCUCACCAGCCCGGAAGUUGGUAUUCUUUUUAAAAAUACUUUUUUUUUAAAAUUGGUUCUUUGUAAAUUUCACAUCAUGCGCCCCAAUCCCACUCAUCUCUCUCUCCCCUCGUACUGUCCCUCCACCCUUGCAACCUCCACAACAGAGAGAGAGAAAAAAAAAAAACCUCA
rnacentral:lncRNA from 1 species